GCCAGGUAUGGAGCACAUGUUUGUAGUCCCAGCUACUCGGGAGGCUGAGGCAGGAGGAUCCCUUGAGCCCAGGAGUUCUGGGGUGCUGUGCACUACGUCCAUUGGGUAUCUGCACUAAGUUCAGCAACAAUAUGGUAACCUCUUGGGAGCAGGGGACCACCAGGUUGCCUAAGAAGGGGUGAACUGGCCCAAAUCAGAAACAGAGCAGGUCAAAACUUCUGUGAUGAUCAGUAGUAGGACAGUGCCUAUGAAUAACCAUUGCACUCCAGCAAGGGCAACAUAGCAAGACACUGACA
rnacentral:SRP_RNA from 1 species